AAAGUGCGACAAGUGUCAUGACUUGCAGAUACCCGAGAGCUGACAAAUUUCUGAAUGCAAAUUGCAGCCAAGUUAACCUGGCUAUGUAUUGCAGAGAGUACUUCGCUUAUGCGCGCCAUCCAGGGGUGGUUCCAUUCCCUCUUGGGCUAUGUGCAGGCUCUUUUGCCUGCUGAGCAUUGUGCCACUCCAACCUCCGUGUUGGAUUAAAGGCCAACUCAAAUCAAAGAUAGAAAACCAAUGAGUUUUCCCGGACAAUACAUGAGGAUAAUUGGCUGGCUCGUCAAGAGACAAUCAAUUACUUUCUCACCAUUCACCUCUGCAAUGCAGGAGAACCCGCUGAACUUAA
rnacentral:misc_RNA from 1 species